GAAAUGCAAGGUAAUGCUGCUUACAAUAGACCUUUGUGGUCCGGUCCUUCCCCAAAAUACCGCGCAUAGCGUGAGCUUAGUGCGCUGCCCUUUUUCUAUGAUGACAGUGGUGUCUGGAUCACAGUACCUAAAUAUUUUAUUGGAUUUCUAUUAUUUCUACCCGCAUAAGUAUCGAGUGGCUCUACCCAUCAAAAUUUAGAUAAAUAGGUUUUGAACUCUGUAUUUCAAGAUUUGCACCCACUUCAUUAAUCCACUAACCCAUACAUUUCGAUGCUUUUUCUUCUUUUUAGUCUAUUCGAAUGCUUUAGGAGAAGAAUUCCAAUUAGGCAUGCUGUCAUCAAGCUAUUUCUCUAUAUCAACAUGUGGAAUAAAUUUCCUUUAAUUUUUGAAGGACUAACCUUGGAAUUAGAUUUUUGGUGGGUGGUUGGGUGGGUUGGGUUGGUUUGGUUAUUAAUCUUUGAUUGAUUACUUCUUCAUUUAAUGUAUCUUAUUAUAUUCCUAUCCUUUGCCUUUGUGUAGAUUACAGGAUCAUAAGUAGCCCCUACCAUCAGCCAACUCUUUUAAAAAGUCUAACUUCCAUCCAUUAAUUAUUUUACUUCUAUUCAAGCGACAAAAUCCCUUAAGAAACUCAGAUGUUUUUUUUUCUUCUUUUUACUCAAAAGAAUGCCAAAAUUGACAAUGCAACACAAAGUCAAAAAUAUUUCACUAGAAAAAGAAGCUUCAGUGAAGCAUGGUUUGUGUUCUUUUCUUUUCUUUAAUUUAAUUAAUCUUGGCAUGUCAUUAAGGAAUGUUUAAUUAAUUGACCAAUACUUAUCGCAUGUCGUUGAGCUUUUUUCCAAUUAAGACAAAUCAAAUCAAACUCAUUUCAAAGGGUUCAUGUGCAUAGUUCAACUAAAUGGAAAUUUAGGAGGGAGAGUUUUAAUUAAAGUUCUUUUGUCCCUGAUAUUAUAAUUAAUUAUUGUCGUUUAAGUAAAGCAAGACAAGAUAAGUAAGAAGAGACAGGAGCAUACGAGAUGUGAUAAUACAAGUAAUCCCUUUGUACUAUUUAUGUUAAAUCAAAAGAUAUUGGAAUUUUGUGAACUGGAGACAUAUGCCAUCUGUCCUCCAUUUCAAAAUGAUUGCAUUAUUAUUCUUUUAAAAAACUACAAGAUUAAUAAAAUAUCUAUGGCACUCACCAAUAUCAUAAUUGGCAAUAACAAUAUAAUAAACCACUAUAACUUUAUUAGUAAUUUUGCAAGUUCAAUGUAAGAUAACAGGUGUACAAAGAAUCAUAUCAUAUUAUCGCAAAACCCAAAACCUAUUGCAAAGUGUUCAAGUUUCCAUCUAUAAAAUAGUGAAGAUAAAGUGCUGAAGAAUAUGCAGACUCAUGUAAUUCGAAAUUGGACUUGGAGAAAAAACAAGAAUAUAAAAUAAGCUAGUUGCAUGGGAACGAAAAAGGACAAAAUUGACCAUAAACCUAAUAUUCUAGCAAUGUUAGUUUAAUACCAUAUUCUAUGAUGAAAAUUGAAUAAGUAGUUGUGAAUGAGAUCACGAGAAUCCAUUUGGAUGGUACAAUAAUCAAUUGAGUAGGGACUGAGGUUUUGAAAUUCUCUAGCUAGCACCAAGUUACUUAUUUUUUUAAAUUUAUAAAGUGCCACCACAAGUUUUAAUAAUUUAGUAUUAAGAGUGUAGGAAUGCAUAAUUUUAAAGUACAAGUUUUUGUAUCAAAACUUUGAUGGAAGUUGAAAUGGUCCCUCCCUUCUAUCCACACAUGAACUUUUUUAGAGGACACUGGACUCUGCUAUAGAUUUUUUUUUUCCUUAGCUUUUAAUAAAAAGGAUAUUUGCCGGCAAAAUCUCCUAGUUUUCGGCUAAAUGACGCCCAAAAGAUUUUCUCUGAAUGUUUUGUCUAGAAAUAAUGUUUAGUCCAUUUUUGCGACUGAAGAUCUGUCUUAGAGAUCAUAAGAAAUUGUGAAUAAAAAUCACGCAGUUGGAGCUUUCGGCAUUUGGUGUCUCACAGACUCGCAGCAUUUGGCAAUAAAUCUUUAAGUUUUCAAAAGAAAUUUUCCCAGAGAUCGAUCCACGCAAGCCAAACCACUUUUUUAAGUUUGUUGGCAAAAAUACCACUACAUCCAGAGGCGAAUGAAAGCUAAGUACUGACAAUACCCGAGAGAAAAAUGGACGAUGCUUACAUUGCUCUCUCACAACCCACUUCCCCGUUUUAAGUACAAACCACAUGAUUUCGUGCUUGUGUUUGGUUAACUCGUAUAUAAAAUGUUUGGUCAAGUCUUGUGGUUAUAUAUAUAGUUCGAGAAGAACAUAGUUAGCGCGUCACACUUAAUGACAACAUUAUGUUUCUGUCCAACGGGUGCAACCUCCCAUUUCAGAGACCCCAAAAGAAGUUACCAAGGAAAAAACAAAACAUGAGAGACAAAAAGGAGACAGAAAAAUCGAAACCAACCUAACAACAUCAACCUGUCUAACUUCUAAGCAUACUUGCAAAACGUUUUACACGCCCUACUUUUAACAAGCGCAUCAACGUAUUCAAAAGAUUUUUACUUCACCAGACAAAUAUAUGCGCAUAUGGCAGCGGGCUCAUUCAGUUCCCAUAUCUUUCAGUCAUAUAAAAAAGAAAGCUAACCCCCCCCCCCCCCCCCCACCCCACACACACAACACACCAUGCAAAGCAAAGCCUGGUAUUUAAGUGGAGAAGGGUAGAGGGGCGGGCCCAUUAUCCACCGAGUUUCGAAGGCUGCGGUUGGUCCAAAGGAUCGGCUCCAGACAGAUUUCUCGGUCAUCAAAAAAAAAAGCUACCCGCUAACACUUCGGAAUUACCGGUAUGUAAUUUCAAAAUAAUGAGGAUCGCAAAGAAAGGGCAAAAACUGUGACAACAAAAGAAUCAGACUUCUUUCGGCAAAAUAUUUUGCCCUGUAUAGAAAACUACAGAAUUGACAAAGGGGAUCUAACAACUGAUCCAUAACAUUGCUCACCCAGCUAGAAUGAGAAGGAAAUACAUGCUCUAUAAGGCUUCUGAAGAGUUGCAUGAUCUCACUUCAGGUCUCAUGGUUUUUGCAUCAAAGCUCCGAUAUGCAUCUGAAUUGCAUCCGUUCACGUAAUCAUACUUUGUCUCCUGGCACGGGAUGCUAGGGCAAGCAGAAUCUUUUUUCUUGGACCCUACAAUUUUAGGCAUCUCUUUCAGAAAAGCUAGGAGUGAAAAAAACCCAUAAUUUCAGAACUGCUAAACCAGUAAGGCAAAAGGGUAAAGACAGGUACAUUAUAACACAUGCCAAAUUACAAAUAUGUCAUGUGGAAAUGCUUCCCCAGAGUCCCUUUCCUCUAACUUACAUCCACAGUAUUGUGGAUGUUGGGCCGAGAAUAUCAGUUGAAGACAAAAGAAAGACCCCUGAGCUCCCUCAGUCUCUCUUUGUAAGUAUGAAUGCUAUCCUGCUCACUUUUCUCAAGGUUUUCACAGAGGGAGGGCAGUUCCUUAUAAAGUCAUCUGAGAACAUAAGUCAUGCUUUCUCUUUCCAAAUGAAUGACUACUUGAUUUUGUAUAGUUAUUAGGAGAAGGAUCGAUACAUGUAAUUAUAAUAUACAUGAGUUUUUGGAUAACUAAGAAAUCUCCGAGGGCUAGUGGCUGCGAUUCGAAAACCCUGUGAAUAAUGGGCCCAUCACUCUAUACUUCUCCACUUAGUAAUUAUAAUAUACAUUGACAGUGCAUACGCGGAUCAACAUAUUUUUUUGUUUCCGAAAACUGGUUAAAGAAGAAGUUGUAAUUGCGAAAAUGGUCCGCUAUAACUCUUGUAUCAUGUAAUAUAUUUAAAAUAUUUCCUAGUCGGAAGGAAAAAUUGUUUCAGAGAUAGCUUAAAAGAAAGUUUAGGCAUAUAAGUGCCACACAAGGAAAAACAGGAAUUCAAUUAAGGAGAAAAGGCAAAUCAGAAAAUUUAUGGCCGUGAACACCUCAAAAGAAAAAAUUGGGAACAUGACAAAAAGAAACAUUCACACGCACAACAAAAUCCAGAGCAUUCAACUGAGAUCUAGGUCUCCAAGAAUAGAUCAAAUAUCGCAUUUAAUAAGAGCAUACCAUGGGUACUCCCAACUCUUUCAGAUCAUUGUCACCCAUCUGCUUCAACGAAUACAGAUCCACCUGCAGCACAGUUCAAGGUAAAUAUGUAUAAUAGCUGAAAAGAAUUUACACCUGCAAUUCAACAAUAAUUCAUUAAAAAAAGAUGCAAUAACACGUUGGUGACAAGAAAUAGAGUAAACUGAGUUUAUGAAGACGUAUAUGUGGGGAGUCACAGCCAGCACAGCUGCAAAUAGUACUACAGUAGCGGCAACCACAACACAAUCCUCACCUAAAUGCCAAGCUUGUCCAAAUUCCAAAAUUUAACCCCAUGCCGCAAAAGUUCCAAGUAUUGUAGUAGCUCGUCCAAUACAUUUACACAAUGCAGUAACCACGCUUUGCCUUGGAUAGGCUCAUGUUAGGAUUACUCCUUAGACCAAUGCACUGAAAAUAUCACAUGCCCUUUCUCCAGUAAGAAAUCCACCUUUCUAUAAGUUGUUUGCCAUUUUUAGUUUCCCUUAGAAGUUAGAAGUCACCCACACCUAGUUCAUCCUAAUCCUACUGUCCAACACAUAAGUCUGUCAAUUUCUACUUCUGAAUCCAGUAGUCCAGUCACAAAUGUACAUCGCGAACACAUUGCAAAUAAGGUAUGUUUCUUCAAGCCUCAGUUCCCCCAGGGACAACCUUAACAGUUCUAUCUUCUGGUAUUCUGUCCUCAUACUAGCUACAAAAGAAGAAUGUUACAUUCUUAAUUUUUUUUUGCCCAAACUGUUCUAAUAUUUACUACAUUCUGGAUAUGAACUUGGUAUCUGUUGGAAUGCUUUGACUACAAUCCUUACACCCACAAACACUACUUUCUAUCUGAACUACAAAAGCAUAUAAUUACUUUAACCAUAAAACAACUACUCAUUUACCAUUCUUCGUUUGCCUGAUCUAGGCCAACUUUAUGGGGCAGAAGCAGGGAAAUUUCAUUGUUCCUUGGAUAAAAUGAACUUUGAAGUUUGAUUCGUCAAUUGCAAAAUCAGAAACCUAAAGUAGUACAAAUUUCUGGCUAACCAGAACCAGAACGUCAGAUGGUUUAGGAAGUAUUUUCUUCUCACACUUGUGGCAUCAAGUAGGUAUAAACUCUAUAAUUUUCUAAGACUUCAACAUUCUAAGCAACCAUAUCGAGUAGCUUGGAUGCAAAUCCCAAUCCACAAGAUCUCAUAACUGAAUACGAGCCGUUUAAAUCUUCUACAAUUUUUGGGACAAUAGAUAUUGCAGAGUUUUAAUGGUAUAAAGCAUUUCAAUUACAUGCAUGCCUCGAGUGUUAAUCUUAAACAUGAAAUGAUGCUUAAUAUAAACAAAGAUGAGAUUAAUAAAUCAAUAAUGUUGCAACUGAAAAGCGAUACUAGAAGGUGAAGGACAUUUACUUCCUCAGCCUUGAAAUUGAUAGCAUACUUGUCUAGACCCAAUGAGUGCAAAAAACUAUCAACAGUAGGCUGAUCCUCAACCUGCAUCGAGGGGAAGAAAAAGAAACUUUAGUGACCAGUGAACCAAAUUCUUUUAACUUUUCAUAUUCUUUUUAACCUCCAAUCAUUUAUCCAUCGUCCUCAAUAAGAACUUUCUCAAGACAUGGCUGUGGCCUAAAUUUUCACACCAGAAAGUAGACAUGUUGAAUCAUGUGACUAGCCAAAUAUUGCAUUUUAUCAUGGACAGGAAUUUGAGAAUACAAGCUACCGUAGUUACAACUAUCCAACAAAUUUAUUUUGCAAGAUCCAGUAAGGUUCAUCUAUUUUGAUAAGUGAACAAUUUAUUAAAGAAUAAACUCUAGGUGCAAAGUGCACAAACACCAAAAUGCAUCGUUAAGAAUAAAACCUCAGCUUAUGGAAGAGCCAACAAAUAUCCAAAAAGGUAUAUCUCACAUAACUCUCAAGAAUGGAUAACAGAUGAUUAUAUACAAGCAAGGCCCUCUUUAUUUUUUCUUCUUUAGAAAAGGUUAACCAUUUUCCUUUUAGCAACUCUUAUCUAAGAAUGAAGAAAGAUAUGUUUUUACAAGUAAACAACUUGAUGUUUAUGAGAAUCUGUUGUACUUAAUAUCGGUAUGGAAGUAAUGCAGAAUAACACUUAAUUAUCAGAGGUCACAUACUUGAAGGAAGAAAUAGUUUGCGGCCCUGGAAAUAGGAUAAAUAUGAUGUUUGAUUAUCACAAGAAAAAUCUCACCAUAUAAUCAUCUAAGCUAUAAGAGAUCUGAACAUGAAAUUUCAGUAAAAGAGGAAACAAAGAAAAAGUAGAAAGUCAAGUAAAUUGUACUGCAUAUGAACUUUUCUGCACUAGACUGCGCGACUGUGGAAUUGGGGGACGCAAUGGUGCAACAGUCUUUCCAGGUCCAGCAGGUUGGGAUGUAUUUGACGGGUAAGCUGCAGAAGUCAUGGGGCGUGAAAACUCAGAGACAUCUUUCCUUGUGUAUGAACUAAGUCUCGGGUCAUCAUAAGGUGUGACUGGAGGUCUUCUCUGCAGUUCCUCCCCUCUCCUUGGUGGUGAGAUACCUCUAGAAGAACUCACAACUCCAUCUGGUGAUUUUCGCCUUAAACGAUCCAGUGUCCAGGGGGAACAAGAAUUUCUUAUCGACUCCAUCUGUGGCAAAGCAUCUGCAUUUCUUGUGGAGGGAGCUCGUCCCAGUAUGCUCAAACUCCUUGACUCCGGUGUAUUAUACCUGACAUCCUUUAGCUCAGGAUGGUGCCCCCUAAAAUCCCUGGCUUCAGGUAUGUACUGUCUUGAAUCUCUGAUUUCAGGUAAGUAUUGUCUAGAACCUCUUGAAUCAAUCAUUCGCUGUCUAUCAUUCCUUGGCUCAGGUACUCGCGGUCUAUUAUCCCUUGGCUCAGGUACUCGUGGUCUAUUAUCCCUCAGCUCGGGGAUCUGCUGUUGAAAACCAGGUUUUGCUGUUGAAGAUUGAGCUGGCCUUGAAAGGAAAUCACGAAGAUCCACCCCAUUCUGAUGGCCGUUGCUUUGACCUCG
rnacentral:lncRNA from 1 species